rnacentral:rRNA from 1 species
AUACGGAAGGUCCGGGCGUUAUCCGGAUUUAUUGGGUUUAAAGGGAGCGCAGGCGGAGAUGCAAGCGUGACGUCAAAUUUCGGGGCUCAACCCCGUCUCGCGUCGCGAACUGCGUCCCUUGGCUGCGGGAAGGGGAGGCGGAACUCGUGGUGUAGCGGUGAAAUGCAUAGAUAUCACGAAGAACUCCGAUCGCGAAGGCAGCCUUCCGGCCCGUCAACGACGCUCAUGCUCGAAGGUGCGGGUAUCAAACAGGAUUAGAUACCCUGGUAGUCCGCACAGUAAACGAUGGACACCCGCGGUUUGGCCUGUAUGGCUGAGCCGCCAAGCGAAAGCGUUAAGUGUCCCACCUGGGGAGUACGCCGGCAACGGUGAAACUCAAAUGAAUUGACGGGG